GCCAUAAUCAUAUAGUGGUCAUUAUAUCAGUUUGUGGCCUAAGGGAAACACUGAAAACCGAGGUUCGAUUCCUCGUUAUGGCA